AAUUUUGGACAAUGGGGGCAACCCUGAUCCAGCCAUCCCGCGUGAGCGAUGAAGGNCUNNGGGUCNUNAAGCUCUGUCCUGAGNNNNNAUAAUGACGGUACCUUAGGAGGAAGCCCCGGCUAACUACGUGCCAGCAGCCGCGGUAAUACGUAGGGGGCGAGCGUUAUCCGGAAUUAUUGGGCGUAAAGGGUGCGUAGGCGGCCUUUUAAGUCAGAUGUGAAAGGCUACGGCUUAACCGUAGUUAGCAUUUGAAACUAAAAGGCUUGAGUGCAGGAGGAGAGUGGAAUUCCUAGUGUAGCGGUGAAAUGCGUAGAUAUUAGGAGGAACAUCAGUGGCGAAGGCGACUCUCUGGACUGCAACUGACGCUGAGGCACGAAAGCGUGGGGAGCGAACA
rnacentral:rRNA from 1 species